rnacentral:rRNA from 1 species
UACGGAGGGUGCAAACGUUGCUCGGAAUCAUUGGGCGUAAAGCGCACGUAGGCGGUCCAGCAAGUCGGGUGUGAAAGCCCUCGGCUUAACCGAGGAAGUGCAUUCGAAACUACUGGACUUGAAUACUGAAGAGGAUCGCGGAAUUCCCGGUGUAGAGGUGAAAUUCGUAGAUAUCGGGAGGAACACCAGUGGCGAAGGCGGCGAUCUGGGCAGAUAUUGACGCUGAGGCGCGAAAGCGUGGGGAGCAAACAGG